rnacentral:rRNA from 1 species
AGUGACCGGCUCGGCCGGGGGAGAUCAUAACCCUUUGCUGUCCGACUCUGUUGCCUCCGGGGCGACCCUGCCUCCGGGCGGGGGCCCCGGGUGGACACAUUCAAACUCUUGCGUAACUUUGCAGUCUGAGUAAAUUUAAUUAAUAAAUUAAAACUUUCAACAACGGAUCUCUUGGUUCUGGCAUCGAUGAAGAACGCAGCGAAAUGCGAUAAGUAAUGUGAAUUGCAGAAUUCAGUGAAUCAUCGAAUCUUUGAACGCACAUUGCGCCCCCUGGUAUUCCGGGGGGCAUGCCUGUUCGAGCGUCAUUUCACCACUCAAGCCUCGCUUGGUAUUGGGCGACGCGGUCCGCCGCGCGCCUCAAAUCGACCGGCUGGGUCUUCUGUCCCCUCAGCGUUGUGGAAACUAUUCGCUAAAGGGUGCCACGGGAGGUCACGCCGUAAAACAAGCCCAUUUCUAAGGUUGACCUCGGAUCAGGUAGGGAUACCCGCUGAACUUAAGCAUAUCAAUAAGCGGAGGA